rnacentral:lncRNA from 1 species
CCCGGAGGCUGGGGGCUGGAGGCCACAGGGCAGCAUCUGUCGACCGAAGGGGAGAGGGUUAGCAGAGGUAAACACAAUGCCUUUUUCCGGCUCAAAACCAGGGUUUAAAAAAAGGCAGGGAGCUACCAGUGGCGCGGAAACAGCAGAACCGAAAUGACAGGGGACCACGAGGAGGAGGAGGGACCGAACUACAGGCGACUGCUGAUGACGUCCAGGAGCAGGGGCUUGUCGCUGUUUCCGAGUCUCAUUACAUAGUCCAUGCUGAGCUAGAACUUGCCAGUCUCUUUCCCUUAGCCUCCCAUGUGAGGGAAUUUCAGACAAUGACACCACACCCAGACUUGGUCACUCAUAGAUUUUUGAUAAGCAUGGAGUCAAGGCCUGUUAAAACAAGGAAUAUCAGGACAUAGGAAACCCUGUGUGACCACCCCAAUUCAAGAACAGAGUCUCUAGACAUGUGAUCAUCAAGAACACACCUGCAGUCAAGGAAGUUGAUACUUUACUCAUUGCAAGAGGAAAAUGCACAUCAUUGAGAAUGACAGAAUGAUUCAAUUUUGUCUAGGAGAGAUGAAUACAGAAAAUCCAAAGCUGGCAUCAAUAAAAAUCAGGAGUCACUUUGAAUAUUUAAUUACAGUGUGCAACCUAAGCAGACCCAGGUUUAAUUCCCAGCAUCCACAUGUUGGCUCACAACAGUCUGUAAUGGGAUGUGAUUUAGCUUUUCUGACCUCCUGUGGGAACAAGUAUGCACCA